UGCUGGCUGUAUGCUACAUAUCUCCCAUGGCUUUCAGCUAAGGAGAAAAAAGCAAUUAAAUGGAAAAUGUUGCCCAAUUCAGCAGAUAGGGGUUUCUAAAUUAUGUGACCAGACCAAUGAGUGGAACAAGAAUGAUGACCGGCUACUGCAGGCCGUGGAGAAUGGAGAUGUGGAGAAGGUGGCCUCACUGCUCGGCAAGAAGGGGGCCAGUGCCACCAAACACGACAGUGAGGGCAAGACCGCUUUCCAUCUUGCUGCUGCAAAAGGACACGUGGAAUGCCUCAGGGUCAUGGUUACACAUGGUGUGGAUGUGACAGCCCAAGAUACUACC
rnacentral:sRNA from 1 species